GUGCUUGCUUCGGUAGCACAUACACUGAAAUUAGAACAAUAUAGAGAAGAAAAGCAUGGUCCUUGCACAAGGGUGACAUGCAAAUUCAUGACUCAUGAUGCAAUCCAUACUUUU
ensembl:snRNA U6 U6 spliceosomal RNA